rnacentral:rRNA from 1 species
UACCAUGGUUUUAACGGGUAACGGGGAAUUAGGGUUCGAUUCCGGAGAGGGAGCCUGAGAAACGGCUACCACAUCCAAGGAAGGCAGCAGGCGCGCAAAUUACCCAAUCCCGACACGGGGAGGUAGUGACAAUAAAUAACAAUAUGGGGCUCUUACGAGUCUUGUAAUUGGAAUGAGUACAAUUUAAAUCUCUUAACGAGGAACAAUUGGAGGGCAAGUCUGGUGCCAGCAGCCGCGGUAAUUCCAGCUCCAAUAGCGUAUAUUAAAGUUGUUGCAGUUAAAAAGCUCGUAGUUGAAUUUCGGGAUUUAUCCGUCGGUCGGGCUUUUGGGUCUGUACUGGCGUGAUGGAUUCCUACCUUCUGAAUAACUGGCAUGUCAUUAAUUUGGUGCGCCGGGGAAGCAGGACUGUUACCUUGAAAAAAUUAGAGUGCUUAAAGCAGGCUUAUGCCUGAAUACAUUAGCAUGGAACAAUGAAAUAGGACGGCAUGGUUCUAUUUUGUUGGUUUCUAGGAUCACCGUAAUGAUUAAUAGGGAUAGUUGGGGGCAUUAGUAUUCAAUUGUCAGAGGUGAAAUUCUUGGAUUUAUUGAAGACUAACUUCUGCGAAAGCAUUUGCCAAGGAUGUUUUCAUUAAUCAAGAACGAAAGUUAGGGGAUCGAAGACGAUCAGAUACCGUCGUAGUCUUAACCAUAAACUGUGCCGACUAGGGAUCGGACGAUGUUAAUUUUUUAAUGACUCGUUCGGCGCCUUACGGGAAACCAAAGUGUUU